rnacentral:rRNA from 1 species
AGAGUUUGAUCCUGGCUCAGAUUGAACGCUGGCGGCAUGCCUUACACAUGCAAGUCGAACGGCAGCGCGGGGCAACCUGGCGGCGAGUGGCGAACGGGUGAGUAAUAUAUCGGAACGUGCCCUGGAGUGGGGGAUAACGCAGCGAAAGUUGCGCUAAUACCGCAUACGAUCUAAGGAUGAAAGCAGGGGACCGCAAGGCCUUGUGCUCCUGGAGCGGCCGAUAUCUGAUUAGCUAGUUGGUGGGGUAAAGGCCUACCAAGGCAUCGAUCAGUAGCUGGUCUGAGAGGACGACCAGCCACACUGGAACUGAGACACGGUCCAGACUCCUACGGGAGGCAGCAGUGGGGAAUUUUGGACAAUGGGCGAAAGCCCGAUCCAGCAAUGCCGCGUGAGUGAAGAAGGCCUUCGGG